rnacentral:sRNA from 1 species
UUCCAUAGAAGAAUAGACUGAAUUGUG